AUUCAUUCAUUCAUUUAUUCAUUUAUUGCAUAACACUCUUCUAGAUUCAUACCAUAUAUUACAGGCUUAAAUUUUAAAAAUAUCAUAUAGCUUGUUUUGCCUAUUGUUUUUUCUAGACUGUAUUUCUUGUGAGCAGAAAAUGAACCAGCACCAAUAAUGGAACUUGGGUGACUAAAUGCUCUGGAACAUGUAGUUGAAUACAUGACUACAAGCUGUGCGACUUCAAAACACUACCUCAGAACACUCAGAAGACUAAAUAUAAGAAUGAAACUUCACAGGUAACUAACUUUAUUAUUCUGCUGGUUGUCUCAUUAAAGAUUUAAAUUUUGGGGGUGUCUGGAUGGCUCAGUCGGUUGGGUGCCUG
rnacentral:lncRNA from 1 species